rnacentral:lncRNA from 1 species
AUGGAAAAGAUGAAAACUUUCUUUGUGGUUAUCUUGGCUACUGACUAUUUCUUACAUAUUUCUGGUAACAAUCCAUAUGCGGACAUUACAUGCGGUUAUUAUCGAAGGAAGUCUGCACAGGAGAACCGAAUAUGCUCCCUAACAGUCUACCCAUUAUGUGCCUCUAAUAAUGUUACAUACUCUAAUGCCUGCAUGUUCUGCUUCGCUAACAUAGCUAUGCACCUCUCUCUUAAAAUUCGAUACGAUGGAAAAUGCGGAAAGGCCAAAAGUCCUGAACAGAAUUUGAUUUUCCUUCCUUCAUCAUAAGUGAACUCAUUUGAAUUAAGCAUCAUCCUUCCUUCAAAAAGCAAAAUUCAUUAUAUUACCUUAUUUUUUAAAGAUCAAUAAAUUUUAUUCUACAGAAAACUCUUCUUUAACU